UGCCUUGGUGCCAAGAGGCGAUGAGGACGUGGUAAGCUGCGAUAAGCUUCGGGUAGUUGCAUACAAACAUUGAACCGAAGAUCUCCGAAUGGGACAACCUAAUAUACUGAAGGUAUAUUACUCGAAAGAGAGCCAACCCAGAGAACUGAAACAUCUAAGUACCUGGAGGAAAGGAUAUCAACGAAACUCCGUAAGUAGUGGCGAGCGAAC
rnacentral:rRNA from 1 species